rnacentral:rRNA from 1 species
UACGGGGGGGGGCAAGCGUUGUUCGGGAUUACUGGGCGUAAAGGGCGCGUAGGCGGCCUGCUAAGUCGGAUGUGAAAUCCCUCGGCUCAACCGAGGAACUGCAUCCGAUACUGGCGGGCUUGAAUCCGGGAGAGGGAUGUGGAAUUCCAGGUGUAGCGGUGAAAUGCGUAGAUAUCUGGAGGAACACCGGUGGCGAAGGCGGCAUCCUGGACCGGUAUUGACGCUGAGGCGCGAAAGCUAGGGGAGCAAACAGG